rnacentral:rRNA from 1 species
UACAGAGGUGGCAAGCGUUGUUCGGAAUUACUGGGCGUAAAGGGCGAGUAGGUGGCCAUCUAAGUCAGACGUGAAAUCCCCCGGCUUAACCUGGGAACUGCGUCUGAUACUGGACGGCUAGAGUAUGGGAGAGGGAUGUAGAAUUCCAGGUGUAGCGGUGAAAUGCGUAGAUAUCUGGAGGAAUACCGGUGGCGAAGGCGGCAUCCUGGACCAUUACCGACGUUCAGGCACGAAAGCGUGGGGAGCAAACAGG